UUGCCAUGUCAUGCGGCGGAAACUAUCACCGGCCUCGAUUUCGAGUCGGUGCGCGGCAAUCACUCGAUCGCUUGGAUUUGGCAGAACUCCGGCGCCUUCAAUCGCUACCGUGGCACCGGCUGGAUGCCGGGGGCGUGGCGGGGGUCGGAGUUGCGAGUUCAAGGAAAUCGAUUUCGGCGGUUGCCGUUGUCAGGCCUUCGCGUUGA
rnacentral:misc_RNA from 1 species